GGUUUAUCUCCAGGUUCCCAACGGAGAAAGAGCUGGGGCAGAGCUCACUGCCUUUGAACUCCCGAACCAUCAGGAGCCAAGACAAACCUUUAAGGAGGAGCCCUCUGCACAGAAUGCAUGUAGGAUAUGAUGUAGGUUGCAGAAGAGCUUUUAUGAAACCUAUAACACAUGCCACAUGCUCCAUCCUGGAAAUGGAUUCGAUUUCCCAGUGGGAACGUGAAUGAUGUAGGCUACGUCCCAGUUGUCAUGUCCCAGUGCAAAUGCACCAGCAGACGCAGCUUGAAACAUGUAUACAAGAUGCCGCUUUACAGCAUCCCUUAUUCACCGGUACCUUGGAGACUCCAGUUCAUUGAAAGUAAUAAAACCAGAUCAUCAAAAGGAAUUCUUUUGAACAGGCUUUGGGCUCUGCUGUGCUACUUGGUUACGGAUAUUCAUCUUCCUGGAAACGGUGCUGUUUGAUACAGCAUACCGGCAUGAAAGCAUCAGCUGCCUCCCUGCUGCAUUAACCCCUCGAGUGUUGAAAUCACAGUCCUUGAAUAGCAAAAUAGUUAUCACUUAUAAUUGCUUGAGGGGAGAAGCAGAUUUUAUUCUCCCAGAUGCAGGGAGGCUGCACACUGGGGUCGGGGGGUUUCCCUGUCUUCAUCCUCAGCAUCACUGCUGCAAUGGGCUGUGGACACAAGGGGAAAGGGAGCAAAGAGAAGCAGACUGUUUGUGACAGCUCCAGGCAGGCUGUAAGGUGACUCCUGUAUCAAAGGGUGCCACAGCACUUAAUCCAAGCUGAACACUCAGAUGUGCUGAAAACACAGAUGUGCUGGAAGCACAGAUGUGCUGGAAACACAGGUAUUCUGAUACUUGACGCUUUAACCUUCUGCUAAGUUUCCAUAUCCUAUGUAUCUUACAGAGUCCUGAUUCCAAGGCUUCAAACAAAAACACUGUGAAUUGGCAGGGGGAGUUGUCGCUGUUGUCAGAGUUGCCAGAGUUCUGGUGCUUUUCCACUGCAUCAUCUGUCUCAGCUAGAAGGAAGAGUGGGUCACCACUGGAACCACGAGCAUGGGUCUACAGACCCUGAGUUUCAUUUCCCUAAAUGGGGAAUGAACAAGGAUGCUGCAGCUGGGCUAAUUUCUUCCUGUUUGAGAGACUGGCACACUAUUGCGUCCUAUUUGCAUCUGUGUUUGCAGCCAGGGAUAGGGCAGCCACAGCUUCUCUGGGCAGCCUGUGUCAGUGCUUCACCAUGAUCCACAACAUCCCUCACUGCUCCUCAGUAGUUUUAAAGUAAUGGAUACCAGUUGCAAUAGAAAUAAAUGCAUUAAAAU
rnacentral:lncRNA from 14 species